rnacentral:rRNA from 1 species
AUACGUAGGGGGCGAGCGUUGUCCGGAAUGAUUGGGCGUAAAGGGCGCGUAGGCGGCCCGGUAAGUCUGGAGUGAAAGUCCUGUUUUUAAGAUGGGAAUUGCUUUGGAUACUGUCGGGCUUGAGUGCAGGAGAGGUAAGUGGAAUUCCCAGUGUAGCGGUGAAAUGCGUAGAGAUCGGGAGGAACACCAGUGGCGAAGGCGACUUACAGGAGUGUAACUGACGCUGAGGCGCGAACGUGUGGGGAGCAAACAGGAUGUGAUACCCUGGGAGUCCAGUCUGUAAACGAUGAAUGCUAGUUGUAGGGGGCAUCGCGCCUUUCUGUGCCGCAGUCAACACAAUAAGCAUUCCGGCUGGGGAGUACGGCCGCAAGGUUGAAGCUCAAAGGAAUUGCCGGGG